rnacentral:rRNA from 1 species
GACGAACGCUGGCGGCGUGCCUAAUACAUGCAAGUCGAACGCUGAAGGAGGAGCUUGCUUCUCUGGAUGAGUUGCGAACGGGUGAGUAACGCGUAGGUAACCUGCCUGGUAGCGGGGGAUAACUAUUGGAAACGAUAGCUAAUACCGCAUAAUAGUAGAUGUUGCAUGACAUUUGCUUAAAAGGUGCAAUUGCAUCACUACCAGAUGGACCUGCGUUGUAUUAGCUAGUUGGUGGGGUAACGGCUCACCAAGGCGACGAUACAUAGCCGACCUGAGAGGGUGAUCGGCCACACUGGGACUGAGACACGGCCCAGACUCCUACGGGAGGCAGCAGUAGGGAAUCUUCGGCAAUGGACGGAAGUCUGACCGAGCAACGCCGCGUGAGUGAAGAAGGUUUUCGGAUCGUAAAGCUCUGUUGUAAGAGAAGAGCGAGUGUGAGAGUGGAAAGUUCACACUGUGACGGUAUCUUACCAGAAAGGGACGGCUAACUACGUG